rnacentral:rRNA from 1 species
AGUCGAGCGAGGUCCAUCCAGUGGUAACACUGGUGAAGACCUAGCGGCGAACGGGUGAGUAACACGUGAGAAACCUGCCCCGAAGACUGGGAUAACUCUCCGAAAGGAGAGCUAAUACCAGAUGCCCUCACCGGGCCGCAUGACUUGGUGAGGAAAUGGAUUCCGCUUCGGGAGGGUCUCGCGGCCUAUCAGCUUGUUGGUGAGGUAACGGCUCACCAAGGCUUCGACGGGUAGCUGGUCUGAGGGGAUGAUCAGCCACACUGGGACUGAGACACGGCCCAGACUCCUACGGGAGGCAGCAGUGGGGAAUCUUGCGCAAUGGGCGAAAGCCUGACGCAGCAACGCCGCGUGGGGGAUGAAGGCUCUCGGGUUGUAAACCCCUUUCAGCAGGGAAGAUUAUGACGGUACCUGCAGAAGAAGCCCCGGCCAACUACGUGCCAGCAGCCGCGGUAAUACGUAGGGGGCAAGCGUUGUCCGGAUUUAUUGGGCGUAAAGAGCUUGUAGGCGGCUUGGUAAGUCGAGUGUGAAAACUCCAGGCUCAACCUGGAGACGCCAUUCGAUACUGCCAUGGCUAGAGUCCGGUAGAGGAGCACGGAAUUCCUGGUGUAGCGGUGAAAUGCGCAGAUAUCAGGAGGAACACCAGCAGCGAAGGCGGUGCUCUGGGCCGGUACUGACGCUGAGAAGCGAAAGCGUGGGGAGCGAACAGGAUUAGAUACCCUGGUAGUCCACGCCGUAAACGUUGGGCACUAGGUGUGGGUCCCUAUCGACGGGAUCUGUGCCGUAGCUAACGCAUUAAGUGCCCCGCCUGG